rnacentral:rRNA from 1 species
UACGUAGGGCGCAAGCGUUGUCCGGAAUUAUUGGGCGUAAAGAGCUCGUAGGCGGCUUGUCACGUCUGCUGUGAAAUCCCGGGGCUCAACCCCGGGCGUGCAGUGGAUACGGGCUGGCUAGAGGCAGGCAGGGGAGGAACGGAAUUCCCGGUGUAGCGGUGAAAUGCGCAGAUAUCGGGAGGAACACCGGUGGCGAAGGCGGUUCUCUGGGCCUGUACUGACGCUGAGGAGCGAAAGCGUGGGGAGCGAACAGG